GGGUCGCUAGCUCAAUCAGGCAGAGCAACGGACUCUUAAUCCGUAGGUUCAGGGUUCGAUUCCCUGGCGACCCA
rnacentral:tRNA from 2 species